AGAAUCAACGCUGGCGGCGUGCCUCAGACAUGCAAGUCGAACGCGAAAGUCCCCUUCGGGGGAUGAUUAGAGUGGCGUCCGGGUGAGUAACACGUGGGUAAUCUACCUUCGGGUGGGGAAUAACAGUCGGAAACGACUGCUAAUGCCGCAUAAUGCAGCGGCACCUAAUGGUGACAGUUGUUAAAGCGGGGUUAGUCGCAAGACCCCUCGCGCCUGAAGAGGAGCCCGCGGCGGAUUAGCUAGUUGGCAGGGUAACGGCCUACCAAGGCGACGAUCCGUA
rnacentral:rRNA from 1 species